CUCAGCUCAACACCUACGUCUACCACCUAGUCACCAGUCAAGGCAAUUCAUAAAAUCAAACCAGACAAAAAAAAAAAAAAAACACCUGAAGUUCAAGAGGUUUACUGUACAACAGGCAGGUAGAAAUGUAUUAUGCAUCUGAAAAUAAGACCAUGUUGUACACCAUAAGUAUAUAAUUUUUGUCAAAUAAGAAAUACAAUUUUUAAGCAAAAUAUAAUUAAUUAAUUACAAAACACAAGACCUAAUCUCUAGCUUGGAUCUGAGAUAUGCUUCCUCUGUACCUACUUCCUUUCUUGGCAGUGCAACCCGUUAACCUGAAUUCUACAUGAAAGAGCUUUUACAACGUCAGGAAAUGAAGCUCCUCUCAUGCAUCUGAAGCAUGCAAUGGAGCAGAGAAAGAGCACACACUUAUGACAUUAGCCAUGGCAUCCUAAAGACGUUCAAGACUACCCAGAACCACCUGAGAAUCGAUUUCAUGUAGGAUUACGUAUCUCUGCCUCGAAUUACACUAUAUUGGUAUAUACAGUAAUAUAUUUUAGGAAAAUUGCGAAUACUUUAUUUUUAUAAUUUGAAUUGUUUUCCCAUUAACACAUACCACCAUUUAUGAGACGCUCUGAGUGACUGGCUGUUGUAAACGUCUUACUGACUGCCUCCCCACCACUGCCACCUACCUGGCUCCCUUCCUUACGUUUUCA
rnacentral:lncRNA from 1 species